rnacentral:piRNA from 2 species
UAGUUUCUGAGAACCUGUGGACAGCC